AAGCCAUGUUGUAGGCAUGAACUAACAAGAUCCUUGAACUGCUCCCAACAUUAAAAGAAUGUCUCAUACUCCUUUUGGGUGAAGUUUAUGAUUGAAUUUUUGAUGGU